rnacentral:rRNA from 1 species
UACGGAGGGAGCUAGCGUUGUUCGGAAUUACUGGGCGUAAAGGGAGCGUAGGCGGAUAGUUUAGUCAGAGGUGAAAGCCCAGGGCUCAACCCUGGAAUUGCCUUUGAUACUGGCUAUCUUGAGUACGGGAGAGGUGUGUGGAACUCCGAGUGUAGAGGUGAAAUUCGUAGAUAUUCGGAAGAACACCAGUGGCGAAGGCGACACACUGGCCCGUUACUGACGCUGAGGCUCGAAAGCGUGGGGAGCAAACAGG